rnacentral:rRNA from 1 species
UGCCCUAGUAACGGCGAGUGAAGCGGCAACAGCUCAAAUUUGAAAUCUGGCGCAAGCCCGAGUUGUAAUUUGUAGAGGAUGCUUCUGGGUAGCGGCCGGUCUAAGUUCCUUGGAACAGGACGUCAUAGAGGGUGAGAAUCCCGUAUGUGACCGGCUUGCACCCUCCACGUAGCUCCUUCGACGAGUCGAGUUGUUUGGGAAUGCAGCUCUAAAUGGGAGGUAAAUUUCUUCUAAAGCUAAAUACCGGCCAGAGACCGAUAGCGCACAAGUAGAGUGAUCGAAAGAUGAAAAGCACUUUGGAAAGAGAGUUAAAAAGCACGUGAAAUUGUUGAAAGGGAAGCGCCCGCAACCAGACUUUGCGGCGGUGUUCGGCCGGUCUUCUGACCGGUUUACUCGCCGCCGUGAGGCCAUCAUCGUCUGGGACCGCUGGAUAAGACCUGAGGAAUGUAGCUCCCUUCGGGGUGUGUUAUAGCCUCUGGUGAUGCAGCGCGUCCCGGGCGAGGUCCGCGCUUCGGCAAGGAUGAUGGCGUAAUGGUUGUCGGCGGCCCGUCUUGAAACACGGACCAAGGAGUCUAACAUCUAUGCGAGUGUUCGGGUGUCAAACCCCUACGCGUAAUGAAAGUGAACGGAGGUGGGAACUUUUUGUGCACCAUCGACCGAUCCUGAUGUCCUCGGAUGGAUUUGAGUAAGAGCAUAGCUGUUGGGACCCGAAAGAUGGUGAACUAUGCCUGAAUAGGGUGAAGCCAGAGGAAACUCUGGUGGAGGCUCGCAGCGG